rnacentral:rRNA from 1 species
UUGUUACGAUCUGCUGAGGGUAAGCCGUCCUUCGCCUCGAUUUCCCCAAUGGGUUCUC